UACAGAGGCCUCGAGCGUUAGGCGGAAUCACUGGGCUUAAAGCGUGUGUAGGCGGACUUCUAAGUACCUUGUGAAAUCCCACGGCUUACCCGUGGAACGGCUGGGUAUACUGGUCGUCUUGAGCCAUCUAGGGGCUACCGGAACAAAUGGUGGAGCGGUGAAAUGCGUAGAUAUCAGGAGGAACACCGGUGGCGAAGGCGGGUCUCUGGGCAGUAACUGACGCUGAGGAGCGAAAGCGUGGGGAGCGAACAGG
rnacentral:rRNA from 1 species